CUGAGCCGAAGGCAGACGCUUAACUGCUGUGCCACCCAGGUGCCCCUGGGUCUUGUUUUUUUAAUCCAACAUUCAGCCACUCUUAUGUCUUUUGAGAAGAAUUGAGUCCAUUUACAUUUAAAGUAAUUAUUGAUAGUUAUAUACUUAUUGCCAUUUUGUUAAUUGUUUUGUUAUUUCUUGUUACUCCAUUAAGUUCUGAUUUUCAUGUUUUUGUAUUAAUAAUUUAUCAGGGAAUGUAUUGUUCCUAAGUUUGGGGGCCUAGCCUUUUGUUACUUCUUUAGGACAAAUUGCUGGGUCAAAACUUAAGGUUUUUUUUGAAGUGAACUCUACCCCCAGUGUGGGGCUUGAACUUACAACUCCAAGAUUGAGUCACAUGCUCUACCGACUGACCCAGCCAGGUGCCCAAAACAAGCAUAUUUUUAAAGACCUUUGAUUUGCAUUGCCAAAUUGUUCCAGAAAAUUUUAUCAACUUAUGCCCCAUCAGUAUUGUCUGAAAUGUCUUCUCUAUCCACACUCUGCCAACAUUGCAUGUUCCUUUUCUAAAGUCUUUGCUACCAGUAGGUUUUUAUCAAAUAAUCAGGUUUGUUUUGUUAGAUUCUGCUGACCCAUAGAUGAUGGGCUAAGUCAACACUAACCUAUUUAUCUUUUUGGUUUUGCUAAAUAGGAUUGACCACGUUUACUGCAUCCACAGAGAAAUCUUCCUCUUCCUGAAAGCACUAAGUUAAAGAUGAUUAGGAUGGAAAAAGAAAUGGUGGCCUCAGGUGGCCAAUCCAGUGAGCCUCUCUCGGGACAGUGGACCCUAGGAAAAAAAUCAGUACCCAAGACAAAAAAUCACAGCAUGUAUUUGAAGUCUCUACACCAAGGCCUAGCGCUGCGUGGGGGUACAGUUUUUGAAACAAUGGCUCUCUAAUACGGCUGGGGAGCAGAAACCCAAGAAACUGGAGAUGUGAGUCUACAGGUCUUUGCACUUAGUAGGCAUCCCAUAAAAGCUCCUUGACCUGAUGUUUUAUUCUGGCCUGCUGUUCCACAUGCCUGCAGUCUUCAGCUUUUACCAGGGGGUUACUAGACGUUGAUGCAUUAGCAGAUGUGCUGUAAUCGAUGGUAUUUUUACAUUGAUUCAGACAUGGAACUGUUAGACCUGACUUCUGGGGGAGGCAUUCUCUGUCUGGAGAGCCAGAAAUGAAGAUCCUCCCUUUGACGCUAGAAACUUCCAGUGCUUUGUUCUAAGAAGGAAAAGCAUGGAUGCUUCCUCUAUUUUCCUCAUGCUUUUUCUCUGAGGGGAUUUUGAAGUUGGGCAAUCAAGGUCACGCAACCUUCUUGGAGAAAGCCAGGUAAGUUUUUCAAGUGUAAAACUACGGGACAAGGUCUCAGAGAGUUAGGAUUCUCUUCUUCUCUCCCUCUGCUUUCUAAGUCCCUGUUCUUAUUUUUCUCCGCACCAGUGGCUAUCUUUCUGGCCCAGAAGUGAAUGCAUAGAGCAAGAGAUUAAGUCAAAAUAUAUGCUGAGACCAGGUUGAGUCGUGGUUAUCUUCUUGAUGCUAAGGUUACCGUUCAGCCUGUGAAAAACAGCAGUGGCAACACCCAGUCCUAGAUAGCGAUCAUGGUCUCUUUCAUAUGCCUAUCCAUACUCCCACAUACACUCUGACUUACAACGAGCAACUCUACAAGCAGCAAAGGCAAAACCCUCCUCUCUCAGAUUCUUUAAUUCCUUGCCCUUUUUUGCAUAUUGUCCUCCUUCAUCCUUAAUCAUUGCUCACUUCCCAGAAGGCUGAGCCUGCCCGCAGCAGUUGCUGAGCCAUGACAGCGAGAGCGAUUCCCAUGAGCACGCCCUCUCGCCCAGACCAGCAAAGGCAGAGUUCAGCCCCACAGCAAUCUAUCUGGUCAGACUGGUGGAGCAGCUUGCUGAGGCAAUCCUGUUGGACUGAAACAGAUAUAGACAGACAGAGGGCUACGGCGAGUAGAGCGCGUGAGAGCCAACCAGACACAAAGAAGCAAACAAGCAUCUGAGCGAGGACUGAAAGACAGCAGGCAGCCAGGCCCAGCAGCUCAUGUGCUCGUUCAACCCUCAUGGCAACCCCAGUGGAAUAGUCCAAGCCAAAACAAGUGAGCCAAAUCCUGAGCUCAUUUUAAUGGCUUCUGUCCCAAACCUGAGUCACUGGGGAUUCCAUGGACUUCUAAGAGAGCCCUACAUGCAUUUCUAAAAACAAACUGCUUGAUGCUGUCAUGGAAAACCUGGAUCUUUGCGUUCUUCGGUUUCAUUAUGGAUUACAUCCAGGUCACAACCUAAGGAAGACAGCUGGCAGUGACGACCCUGCUGGCCGGUUACCCAGUUUUUGUAAUGAAUCCCACAGGGCUCCGGACUGAUGUGUGUUUCUGGCUCUGCCAAGUUCUGGACAAGUCCUCACCUCGUGAAGACCAAUCAGCCUGUGAUUUAGUCUGUGAAGGGAGCCUGAAAAGCCACCUGCAGUCAAGGAUCCACUGCGAGAAGCUGCCUGCAGCAAGGAAAGGAGGCAGGGACUGUGUGUGUCAAGGGGACGAGCAGGCAGAGGAAGUCCUUGGUUUUCCUGUCAACUCAACUGCUGUCUUCUGCUUUUCAAAAUAAUGCCCCAAGGAUACCCACAGUCACCCCAAAGCCACAGGAAUGCUCCACGCUUUUCAGCCCCAACACAGGCAGGCUAUGAAGGGGCCAGGAACGGCCCUAUACAACACACUGAUGUUUGAUUUUCAACAGAACAAGGUAAGUUCUAAAGGCUAGAAGAGAAACUACUAUUCCCUAAAAUGCAGCAAUUCUAGGAAACAUAAAAAAAAAUACUAAGUCCUGCCAAGAAAGCAGAAAAACUUUACUGACCAUAUAGCUACCACUUAUUAUUUACUACAUGCCAAGUACUGUGUUUAAGUCUUUCUUCUCCUAUAUGAUCUAAUUCAAUCCACAAAACAACCCUAAGGUAUUAUAACUCAUUAUACCCAUUUUACAAGUGAGAAAAGACGUUCAGAGAAGUGAGGUAAAUUACUAGCCAUUUCACAGCCACUGUAAGGUGAGGUCAGGACUGAUCCAGAGGCAGGUGAGGGCCGACCUCUAAUUGCAGCCAAGAGUGAAGUACUGAACUCCAAAGGCGCGUGCGCUAAGUAUGCAGGAGAUGUCAGAUGGGCGCCCACCAACAGGCUAGACCUUGAGGGCAAAUCCUGUAUCUGGGUUAACUUAAUAAUCAAUAGUUAUAUCUUACUGUUAUUUUUAAGUAACCUAGAUUUUGAGAGUUCCACUGAGGUAGCAAAUUCUUUCACAUCCACUUCUAAAAUCAAAAUACCCCGAUUUUGAUAAUUUAUGUUACACUUUCUAUAGACAGCGAGGGUACACAAACCUAAGGCCUAUUUAUUCUUUAAAAUUAGCUGCAGUAAGGAGUAUGCUUACAG